rnacentral:rRNA from 1 species
AGACGGAGGGCGCGAGCGUUGUUCGGAAUUACUGGGCGUAAAGCGCGCGCAAGCGGAUGGGCAAGUCGGGAGUGAAAUCCUGGGGCUCAACCCUGGGACUGCUAUCGAUACUGCUCGUCUAGGGACCGGUAGAGGCCGGUGGAAUUCCCGGUGUAGCGGUGGAAUGCGUAGAUAUCGGGAAGAACACCUGUGGCGAAGGCGGCCGGCUGGGCCGGAUCCGACGUUGAGGCGCGAAAGCGUGGGGAGCAAACAGGAUUAGAUACCCUGGUAGUCCACGCCGUAAACGAUGGGUGCUAGAUGCCGGGGGGAGCGACCCCUUCGGUGUCGCAGCUACCGCGUUAAGCACCCCGCCUGGGGAGUACGGCCGCAAGGCUGAA